UGAAAGGGAAGAGGGCGGCAGUGUUUCUUUUUCUUUCUUUUGUUAUUAUAUAUAUUUAUUUUUUUACUUUAGUUUUUGAUUUCAUGAAUGUAAAAUUGGGCAUGAGGAGGUUGACUAGAGUCCUCGCUGGUUCGCCUAGUGUCGUGUUGAUGGGGGCUAUAGUUGAGAUGAACGUUGCCGACGCAGAGGCGAGGGAAGUCCAAGCAGUCGGUUGUAGUAAAA
rnacentral:lncRNA from 1 species